CCAAUAGCGUAUAUUAAAGUUGUUGCAGUUAAAAAGCUCGUAGUUGAAUUUCGGGGUUAGUAGGCUGGUCGUGCCACUGGUACGUACUGGUCUCACUGAUUCCUCCUUCCUGAUGAACUGUAAUGCCAUUAAUUUGGUGUUGCAGGGAAACUGGACUGUUACUUUGAAAAAAUUAGAGUGUUUAAAGCAAGCUAACGCUUGAAUACAUUAGCAUGGAAUAAUGAAAUAGGACGUUCGAUCCUAUUUUGUUGGUUUCUAGGAUUGACGUAAUGAUUAAUAGGGAUAGUUGGGGGCAUUAGUAUUCAAUUGUCAGAGGUGAAAUUCUUGGAUUUAUUGAAGACUAACUACUGCGAAAGCAUUUGCCAAGGAUGUUUUCAUUAAUCAAGAACGAAAGUUAGGGGAUCGAAGACGAUCAGAUACCGUCGUAGUCUUAACCAUAAACUAUGCCGACUAGGGAUCGGAUGAUGUUAAUUUUUUAAUGACUCAUUCGGCGCCUUACG
rnacentral:rRNA from 1 species